AGAGUUUGAUCAUGGCUCAGAACGAACGCUGGCGGUAUGCUUAACACAUGCAAGUCGAACGGGUGUAGCAAUACAUCAGUGGCAAACGGGUGAGGAAUAUACAGGAAUCUCCCCAGCAGUAAGGAAUAACUUUGGGAAACCAAAGCUAAUGCCAUAUAAGUCCCUCCGGGGUAAAGAUUUAUCGCUAAAAGAUCGGCCCGCGUCCAAUUAGCUAGUUGGUGAGGUAAUGGCUCACCAAGGCAACGAUCCAUAGCUGGUUUGAGAGGAUGAUCAGCCACACUGGAACUGAGACACGGUCCAGACUCCUACGGGAGGCAGCAGUGGGGAAUAUUGCACAAUGGAGGAAACUCUGAUGCAGCCAUGCCGCGUGAGUGAAGAAGGCCCCUAGGGUUGUAAAACCUUUCAAUAGGGAAGAUAAUGACGGUACCUAUAGAAAAAGCACCGGCUAACUCCGUGCCAGCAGCCGCGGUAAUACGGAGGGUGCUAGCGUUGUUCGGAAUCAUUGGGCGUAAAGCGUACGUAGGCGGCUUAGUAAGUUGGAUGUGAAAGCCCAGGGCUCAACCCUGGAACUGCAUUCAAUACUGCUAAGCUUGAACAUGAUAGGGGAUAGUGGAAUUCCUAGUGUAGGGGUGAAAUCCGUAGAUAUUAGGAGGAACACCAGUGGCGAAGGCGGCUAUCUGGGUCAUUGUUGACGCUAAGGUACGAAGGCGUGGGGAGCAAACAGGAUUAGAUACCCUGGUAGUCCACGCAGUAAACGAUGAGCGCUAAAUGUCUGGACCUUGAGUCUGGGUGUUACAGCUAACGCGUUAAGCGCUCCGCCUGGGGAGUACGAUCGCAAGAUUAAAACUCAAAGGAAUUGACGGGGACCCGCACAAGCGGUGGAGCAUGUGGUUUAAUUCGAUGCUACGCGAAAAACCUUACCAACCCUUGAAUCCCAUUGACCGGUAGAGAAAUUUACCUUUGGAGCAAUCCACAGUGGAGACAGGUGCUGCAUGGCUGUCGUCAGCUCGUGUCGUGAGAUGUUAGGUUAAGUCCUUCAACGAGCGCAACCCUCAUCCUUAUUUGCCAUCGGGUUAUGCCGGGAACUAUAAGGAAACUGCCAGCGAUAAGCUGGAGGAAGGUGGGGACGAUGUCAAGUCAUCAUGGCCCUUAUGGGCUGGGCUACACACAUGCUACAAUGGUGAUUACAGCAGGAUGCGAAGGAGCAAUCCGGAGCCAAUCCCUAAAAGUCAUCUCAGUUCAGAUUGGGGGCUGCAACUCGCCCCCAUGAAGUUGGAAUUGCUAGUAAUCGUAGAUCAGCACGCUACGGUGAAUACGUUCUCGGGUCUUGUACACACUGCCCGUCAAGCCAUGGAAGUUGUUUUGACCCGAAUAGGGUGGGCUAACCGCAAGGAGGUAGCUCUACACGGUAGGAGGAGUGACUGGGGUUAAGUCGUAACAAGGU
rnacentral:rRNA from 1 species